CCGAUGCCCAGAAUGCGUGUGCGAAGCGGAAAUGCAAAGGGUGCAUCCACUGCAAUGCGCGACUCCGAUGUGCGCACGGAACUGCACUCUGGUUACCGGUGACCACGGAUGUCCGGACUGUGAGUGUCCACCGACUCACUGCCCGAGGAAGAAAUGUCCUCCGGGAUGUCACAGAGAAACGGGCAUCCUCCAUGACCGAUGCCCAGAAUGCGUGUGCGAAGCGGAAAUGCAAGUGGUGCAUGCACUGCAAUGCGCGACUCCGCUGUGCGCACCGAACUGCACCCUGGUUACCGGUGACCACGGAUGUCCAGACUGUGAGUGUCCACCGACUCACUGCCCGAGGAAGAAAUGUCCUCCGGGAUGUCACAGAGAAACGGGUAUCCUCCAUGACCGAUGCCCAGAAUGCGUGUGCGAAGCGGAAAUGCAAAGGGUGCAUCCACUGCAAUGCGCGACUCCGAUGUGCGCACGGAACUGCACUCUGGUUACCGGUGACCACGGAUGUCCGGACUGUGAGUGUCC